GGGGCGGGAGCGGCGGCGCUGGCAUAGCAGCUAUGGCGUCGUUACUUUGGGGAGGCGACGCCGGGGCGGCGGAGAACGAGCGGCUGAACAGCCAUUUUUCAAAUCUCAUCCACCCCCGGAAGAACCUUCGGGGUAUUAAGAGUACCACAGUCCCAAAUAUAGAUACCUCUCUUGAUAAUGCGGAAGACGAUGAUGAAGAUGACGUAGUGGAUUUAGCAGCGAAUUCACUCUUAAACAAGUUAAUCCGCCAGUCCUUAAUAGAAUCCAGUCACCGAGUGGAAGUCUUGCAAAAAGAUCCCAGCUCUCCACUCUACUCAGUAAAAACAUUUGAAGAGCUGCGGCUAAAGGAAGAGUUACUAAAAGGGAUCUAUGCAAUGGGAUUUAAUAGGCCAUCCAAAAUCCAAGAGAUGGCUCUCCCUAUGAUGCUGGCACAUCCACCCCAGAACCUCAUAGCACAGAGCCAGUCUGGAACAGGAAAGACAGCCGCCUUUGUCUUGGCCAUGCUAAGCAGAGUGAACGCCUUGGAAUUAUUCCCCCAGUGCCUCUGCCUUGCUCCUACUUACGAAUUAGCUCUGCAGACUGGCCGUGUAGUUGAGCGGAUGGGAAAGUUCUGCGUGGAUGUUGAAGUGAUGUAUGCCAUUCGAGGGAACCGAAUUCCUAGAGGCACCGAAGUCACCAAACAGAUUGUAAUUGGCACUCCUGGGACCGUCCUAGAUUGGUGUUUCAAGCGAAAAUUGAUUGAUUUGACUAAGAUUCGUGUGUUUGUCCUGGAUGAAGCCGAUGUAAUGAUUGACACACAAGGAUUCUCAGAUCAGAGCAUUCGUAUUCAAAGAGCCCUGCCCUCCGAAUGCCAGAUGCUCCUUUUUUCAGCAACCUUCGAGGACUCUGUGUGGCAGUUCGCUGAGCGAAUCAUUCCUGACCCCAAUGUUAUCAAGUUACGCAAAGAGGAGCUGACCCUAAACAACAUCCGACAGUACUAUGUGCUGUGUGAGAACAGGACAGAUAAAUACCAAGCUCUGUGCAACAUUUAUGGCAGCAUCACCAUUGGCCAGGCCAUCAUCUUCUGCCAGACCCGUCGAAAUGCCAAGUGGUUGACUGUGGAGAUGAUGCAGGAUGGCCACCAGGUGUCCUUGUUAAGCGGGGAGUUGACAGUGGAGCAGCGAGCUUCCAUCAUUCAGAGGUUUCGGGAUGGGAAAGAGAAGGUUCUUAUAACGACCAAUGUUUGUGCUCGAGGGAUUGAUGUGAAGCAGGUCACAAUUGUUGUGAACUUUGAUCUCCCCAUAAACCAAGCAGAAGAGCCAGACUAUGAGACCUACCUCCACCGCAUAGGGCGGACAGGACGCUUUGGGAAAAAAGGCCUUGCCUUCAACAUGAUUGAAGUGGAAAAGCUGCCCCUGCUCAUGAAAAUCCAGGACCACUUCAAUAGCAGUAUUAAGCAGCUGGACCCUGAAGACAUGGAUGAGAUUGAAAAGAUUGAAUAUUGAAGAAAGAACUUUAUUGUUUGUGAGAUAUCCUAGUUUGUGUGAGAAUGUUGCGGCAGGUUUUGAAGAUUCACUGGCUUCUUCCCCAUGUGACCAUCUCUUUAUACUACGCUCCGUCAGCUUACACAGAAUGUGGAUUGUUUUUUAUUUAAUAUUUCUAUUACAAGAGCAAUAAAACAGCUAACAAAUGGAGCACAAGUUAGAGAUCUCAUUACUUCAUCAUAACAAUUAUUGUCUUGAUGUAGUCCAUUCCAUUUUAAUAUGAAGAUAGCUUGUCAUAGUGCAUGUUUGUUAUUAUAUCCUUUUACUUGAAAUAUCCAAGUGUUUUUCUGUUACAUAUAGUCUUAGCAAUAAGUAAUAAUAAUAAUAAUAAUAGACUAGAUUAUCUUACCCUGGUGAGUAUGCAUAUAACUAUCUUUGUUCAACAUUUAUGUGAUAACCAGUUUUCCAGCAUUAUAAGGAAUACUACAACAACCAACUUUUUGAAUUAUUUCUUAGGAAUAGAGAGUUGAGUACCAGGCCAAAACCAGGAGCAUUCUUAUAGCUUUCAGUAGACUGAGGCUGUAGCUCUGCCAGUAAUGUCCCUCAUCUUACCAGCAAGGGAUAUUUUCAGUUUCAGAUUGUGUGCUAACUUGUUUGGGUUUACGUUUCUUUUCAUACAAAUAAGACUGAGUAUUUCUUUGUGUGUGAGUCACUGUUUGAAAAACAUCUGUAGUAGUACCCUUUGCCCAUUUAUCUCAUGAGAUAAAUGUUUUCCUUGUCAAGUUGU